AUUGAACGCUGGCGGCAGGCCUAACACAUGCAAGUCGAGCGGCAGCGGAAAGUAGCUUGCUACUUUGCCGGCGAGCGGCGGACGGGUGAGUAAUGUCUGGGAAACUGCCUGAUGGAGGGGGAGAACUACUGGAAACGGUAGCUAAUACCGCAUAACGUCGCAAGACCAAAGAGGGGGACCUUCGGGCCUCUUGCCAUCAGAUGUGCCCAGGUGGGAUUAGCUAGUAGGUGGGGUAACGGCUCACCUAGGCGACGAUCCCUAGCUGGUCUGAGAGGGUGACCAGCCACACUGGAACUGAGACACGGUCCAGACUCCUACGGGAGGCAGCAGUGGGGAAUAUUGCACGAUGGGCGCAAGCCUGAUGCAGCCAUGCCGCGUGUAUGAAGAAGGCCUUCGGGUUGUAAAGUACUUUCAGCGGGGAGGAAGGCGUUGAGGUUAAUAACCUCAGCGAUUGACGUUACCCGCAGAAGAAGCACCGGCUAACUCCGUGCCAGCCGCCGCCGUAA
rnacentral:rRNA from 1 species